rnacentral:rRNA from 1 species
AACGAACGCUGGCGGCAUGCCUAACACAUGCAAGUCGAACGAGACCUUCGGGUCUUGUUGCGCACGGGUUCGUAAGGGGAGGGAAGCUUCCCGUAGGUUGGGAAUAACUCCCCGCAAGGGGUGCUAAUACCGGACAAUGUCUUCGGACGAAUGAUAUAUCGCCUUUGGAGGGGCCCGCGUUGGAGUAGCUAUUUGGUAGGGUAAAAGCCUACCAAGGCGACGAUACAUAGCUGGUCUGAGAGGAUGGUCAGCAACCCUGGGACUGUGACACGGCCCAGACUCCUACGGGAGGAAGCAGUGGGGACUAUUGGACGCCGGGCGAAAGCCUGAUCCAGCAGUGCCGUGUGAGUGAUGAAGGCCUUAGGGUUGUAAAGCUCUUUUACCCGGGAUGAUAAUGACAGUACCGGGAGAAUAAGCUCCGGCUAACUCCGUG